GUUGAUUAAUGAUAAAGAAUCUGGUGAACCCUACAGAACCGUAUAAGGCAAAGAUAAUUUGACUGCAAUAUUUGCUGAAAAAUAUUAAUUCACUUGAUUAUACACAUUGAUAGGGAAGUCACAAAUAUUCAAUCAUAUGUAGAUUGCACUAAACAUAAUGUCAAGUGUUGCACUGAAUAUCAAUAUAAAUUAGCCGUAAAUGGUAACUUUGAUAAAAUUAAUAAACACAAGUUAAAAUUACAAAAGUCGCCAAAAUUUUUUCAAAAAUUUGCUUUGACAAUUUCACGAUUGAAUGUUAAUUUUAAAAGAUAGGGGAUAUCGAUACUGAUAUUGAUACUUGAUAUUUUUGUGGAAAAAGUGAGAUUCAAAGGAAAUGAGUAAACGUUUGGUAAAUGAAAAUGAAAAAUUAUUAAUAAAGUGUAUUUAUCCACAAUCAAGUUUAAGUUGAAUGAAUGGAAGCUGAUCAAGAGGAUGAUAGUUAAUUAUCUACACUUCCAAUGACUCACUACUUUUUGGUGUUGAUUGAUUAACUUCCAUUAACGACGAGUUAACAAUUUACAAUACAUCAACAACUGUCCUUGACUAUGAAAUUAAGGCUGAUUACUACAGUUUAUUAUUACGACUGGAGAUGGAUUUGGUUAAAGUUGCUGCUGGUAAUCAUGUUUGGCGGUGACAAAAUUAUUGCCUCUUAUUUCAUCAUUACCAGUUUUUGGACAGCUAAUUGAUUUGAAACGUUAGAUGGCGACUGUGAAUCGAUCAAGGGAAAACAUUUGUUUUUUGGUGGAAACGAUUUAAACUGUUAUUUAACUGGAAAUUUGGACGACUCGAAAAAAGACUUGGAUUAAGGAAGCAAGGCUAUUCUUAUGCUCUUGAGAGUAAUAAAUGGAUUCCAUUAUAACUUACUUUAUUGGUGAUUUCAAUUUCUAUUCUUAUCUGCUUCGUUUCUUCAUCUUCAGCUAACCUCACCUACGAUGUAACCUAAAAAUGGAGCUCAAAUAUAAAAACGGUUGACAAUGACAACAAUCAACUAAAUGGUGGCUUUUUGUGAUCAGAUGUGAUGAAAUGCCGAUUUUAUUUCAAGUUACUCAUGAUGAAGUAAAACAAAAACACCAAGUCAAACCUGGAUCAAUGCUAUUGAACAAAGUGACAAUUUUUUACAAUUUUCCCUCUACAUCUCAAUAAUUGGUUCGCUUCUUUGAUUAUUAUCAUAUUUACAUGAAAAUCAAACAAACAGUUUUGAUUUUCACAUGCAUUCUCUCAGCGAGUCAAAACAUACACACACACACAUUCAAAGUAAAUUAGUAAUAGAUUGUGAGAAAAGCUUUUCUAUUAACCAUUGAUAGGUAUCUAAGUUUCACCCUGUUAAAUCAAAUCAUUAUCAUCAUUAACAUCAUCACCACCAUCACAACAGAAAAGCAGCAGCAAGUGAAGAAAUCACUGACACCAUCUUCCUGACAUAAACAUUUCAACAAGUUUGACAGUUAUGGUUGCUACAACGUUGUUGCAUGUGAUGUACUGAUUAAGCUAGCGUUGUUGUUGAUCAUUAUCAUCAUGAGGAUCAUGCUGAUUAAGUGUAUUAAAAUGAAAAUGAUGAUGAUCUUUUUUGAUUUUUAAAAUGAAGCAAAAGAUCAUUCUUGCAUUUAAACCAUCCCUUUGACGGGUGGUGAUUUUUAUGGUUAAAAGUGGUUGUGGUGAGAGAUGAGGUGUGUUUAAAUUAAUAUUUUGCUCGAGUUUGGUAUCAAAAGGAAUACAUUUAGUUAUAAUAAUAAUGCUGAUAAUUAUGAUAAAACAGAGUCAAAAAAUGAGUGAAACGAAAUCAAAACGAAACAGUUCAUUGUAAUAGAAAACCAGCCUACACCUACCUGUUUAACCUUACCUUGAACAAAUUGCUAUUUAGAAAAUUAUGCUGGUUAAACGUAGGUAGCCAUUGAAUUUCAUUUUCAUUUAUUUGUAAAUAGCAUUUACUAUUAAAAAAAAUGAAACACAAUUCAAGUAAAUGUUGCUUUUAAUUUACAGAAAAAAUGGAAAAAUGGUUACUGCCAUCUAACGAAUACCAAUGGAAACAAGGAGGUCAAAGGAUAGCAAUCUAAUUACUGAUCAUGGAUUGGAAAUGAUAUGCAAAAAAGGUUUACCUGAGCUGAUUUUGAUGAGGAUGAUACGGAUGCCAAUGAAGAGUAAAUUAAAAAUGAAUACUU